CACACAACCAGCUCAUGUCUUGGAGACAGGAGGUAAUGGACCUGGAGUGGAGAUGUUGCGGCCACUGGGUGUCUCUGUUCAUUUCGGUUAACAUCUCUGGUUGACGAGGAUGGGACGUGAAGCAGCCGUCUGAUCUCCUCCUGGGGGACAAGUGGACACUGCAUGCCGGCACAACCCAGAGCCCCUUGACUGCUCCUCUGCAUCUCCAAUGGCCUCAGAGGGACGAUCGAGAUGCUUGAGUCCAGAGGCAGGAGCAAUGGAAAACAGCAGAAGGGCUGGGAGUGUUUUGGCUGGUCUGGAACUGUCAAGAUAAAAUCUC